CCCUUAGAUGUUCUGGGCUGCACGCGCGCUACACUGACGCACGCAACAGGUGCCUGCUCCGAGAGGACUGGGUAAUCAUUUGAGUGUGCGUCGUGAUGGGGAUAGAAUAUUGUAAUUAUUACUCUUCAACGAGGAAUUCCUAGUAAGCGCCAGUCAGCAGCUUGCGCUGAUUACGUCCCUGCCCUUUGCACACACCGCCCGUCGCACCUACCGAUGGGUGAUCCGGUGAAUGAUUCGGACUUCAGCGGCUCCCCUGGGGUGCGCCGGAGAAAGUUUUGUGAACCUUAUCACUUGGAGGAAGGAGAAGUCGUAACA
rnacentral:rRNA from 1 species